rnacentral:rRNA from 1 species
AACGAACUCUGGCGGCAGGCCUAACACAUGCAAGUCGAACGCUGAAGCAAUACAGAGUGGCAGACGGGUGAGUAACGCGUGGGAACCUUCCCAAUGGUGCGGAAUAGCCCAGGGAAACUUGGGGUAAUACCGCAUAAGCCCUUAGGGGGAAAGAUUUAUCGCCAUUGGAUGGGCCCGCGUCGGAUUAGCUAGUUGGUGAGGUAAUGGCUCACCAAGGCAACGAGCCGUAGCUGGUUUGAGAGAAUGACCAGCCACACUGGGACUGAGACACGGCCCAGACUCCUACGGGAGGCAGCAGUGGGGAAUCUUGGACAAUGGGCGCAAGCCUGAUCCAGCCAUGCCGCGUGAGUGACGAAGGCCUUAGGGUUGUAAAGCUCUUUUGCCGGGGACGAUAAUGACGGUACCCGGAGAAUAAGUCCCGGCUAACUUCGUGCCAGCCGCCGCAGUAAUAC